AUUCAAUGUAGGAAUUUUUUUUCAUAUUUAAAAUCAAUCUUCAAAAUAUGUAAUUUUAUAUAUGAAGAUAAAGAAUCUAUUGUCAAUGCUCUAACAAGAUAUGGAAUGGAAAAUUAGCUCAAUAAUUGGAGAUUGUCGUAUUCUCCUAAAAUGGUCUUCCGUCCAGAAGUGUCAACAUGAAGACACAUGACCUCCUUCGUAAGGUCUUUGCAAUGUAUGUGAAGGAAUGUAAGCCCAGUGGUCCUUUAAUUCAUAACUCUCUGUUGGUCUCAUACAGGCUUCGACCCACCAUAACUCUUUUGUAUUCAUGUUCCUUCGCUUUCUAUAAUGGUUCUGUUUGCUAAAAAGAAAAAAUAAAUCUACUAGCUAAUUCAUGGUUCCCAGAGAAUGAGUAACAAAAAGGAUAUCAGGGAUACCUUGAAAUUUACAAUCAAAAUUGCAGGCCAUUAAGGCAGGGUGUGUGAGAGGGGUGUGCGGGUCCCACCUCUCCAGUUGGUAGGUGAACCCAUACACGUACCCAAACAAGAAAGACCCGUCUCCCUCUCACAAACCUCUGCAAUUCCAAAAACAAAGAAGGAAAUCUUUGUCCCAAUAUUAGUUGGGGGUUGAAAGGCUUCAAUUCCCUCCUCCGGCCGGUAGACCAAACUUUUCAUGCAUAAAAUUGGAAGCUUCCUCCAUUUGUUGCAGUGCUCUUGGGACUGCGUGCAUGUUAUAUAUUCUCUGUUUCUCUGUGUAUGUGGGUGCAGUACUCUUUGGACUGCAUGCAUUUAAUAUGUUCUCUUUUUCUCUGGUGUUUGUGGGGAACCCGGAAGAUUAGCCUUUUCUUUCCAACUUGCUCCUCGUCCAUGUUCUCCGCGACGAAAUAAAGAUAUCUUCACCGCCAACUUUUUCCACGAAUUUGGUGGGAAUGUGAUGUAAAGUCCCACUGGAGAACCCACGUGCAUGCAACUGAGUACUUGAGAAUUCAUUUCCUUUCCCGUCAGAGUCCUAAAUCUCGGAAGCCGAUCGAAGUCUUCACCAAGUAAAAAACUUCGAAGGGAAAAAACUAUAUAUAGCACAUCUAUCAUAAUUAAUGGAUGUAAUCUUAUGACAACAGCAAUAUAAUUUUAUGGAACAAACUAUAUUGCUGUGUAUGAGGAAUGUAGCUUAUUUUUCUGCAUCAUUUAACGUUAAUUAGCAUAAGGUGCCAUUUCUUCUGAUCAAAAGAAGGUUGAUCAGAAGUAAUGUGCGGUGGAGGGCUACAGCUUUAGCAAACUGUAAAAUGAUGCCUGUGGAGAUCUUCUUUCGAUGGAAAACCGACCAAUGAUUGUCAUCAUAA